rnacentral:rRNA from 1 species
AUUGAACGCUGGCGGCAUGCUUUACACAUGCAAGUCGAACGGUAACAGGUUAAGCUGACGAGUGGCGAACGGGUGAGUAAUGCAUCGGAACGUGCCCGGUCGUGGGGGAUAACGCAGCGAAAGCUGCGCUAAUACCGCAUACGAUCUGAGGAUGAAAGCGGGGGACCGUAAGGCCUCGCGCGAUCGGAGCGGCCGAUGUCAGAUUAGGUAGUUGGUGAGGUAAAGGCUCACCAAGCCAACGGUCUGUAGCUGGUCUGAGAGGACGACCAGCCACGAUGGGACUGAGAAACGGCCCAGACUCCUACGGGAGGCAGCAGUGGGGAAUUUUGGACAAUGGGCGAAAGCCUGAUCCAGCAAUGCCGCGUGCAGGAAGAAGGCCUUCGGGUUGUAAACUGCUUUUGUACGGAGCGAAAAGGCUCUCUCUAAUACAGGGGGCUCAUGACGGUACCGUAAGAAUAAGCACCGGCUAACUACGUGCCAGCCGCCGCAGUAA